UGCCCCGCAUCCCAACGCUCUCGUUUACACGUUGCACGCUCCGGGCAGGCGGCCACUGUACCUCGCUCGUCUACGCCAUCGAAAUCCACGCCCGCCCCCUGGCCUGGCUCCCUCCCCCGCCGCGUCCCCGCCGUCGCGCGAUUGCGGAUGAACCCGGCGCACGCGGCUCGCGAGGGUUUCGGCGCACAUUUGGAAUUUCGUGGUCCACCGCGGCGAGACCGGAGGGCGCGGGAGGUACGGCGCGCGGCCGUCGGCUCUUCCAAUGCGGCCGCGCAGGUCGGAGCGCGCGAGGCAAGCGCAAGUCGGUGGCAGGCGGCGGCGGCGGAACAGCUUCUUCAGAAACUGCAAGCAUCGGUUUUCAUCCUACAUUACAUCAGACAUCAUCAGAUGUAAUUCGGAAUAGUACUGCCUUGCUGUCUCGGCUUCUGUGGAAGUGUCCCAGUGAAGUGGACUUCUUUGCAGGUUUUAUUACAGUAUGUUGCAAUCUUCCAUAAUAUUCUGAGGUGCCAAUUAUGAUACAUUGUUUUAUAUUUUUAUUAUAUAUACACUUUGAAUGAGUGCUUCCACAGGAUCAUUUAAUAUAUCAAUGGCUAUAUGUCCCCAAUAUUUGAUGUUAGCAAACAUUUCAUAUGGGCACUGUAUCAGAGUAAAUAUAGAUAUACAUUUGUGAGAGGAAGGAAAAAUCCAGUUUAUGUCA